rnacentral:tRNA from 1 species
AUAUAGGUAUAUAUGGUAGAAUGCUCGCCUGCCACGCGGGCGGCCAGGGUUCGAUUCCCGGCCAAUGCA